CCAUAGCCCUGAUUGCAGCGGCAUCCUUUUUUGUCAUGAUGACCAAAGCUUCUUAUAAAAUCCCUGACAAUAUCUGCAAUGACAAAAAAGAUACAGCGGAAAGCAGGUUCCCGG
rnacentral:sRNA from 1 species